UACGUAGGUGGCGAGCGUUGUCCGGAAUUACUGGGUGUAAAGGGCGUGUAGGCGGGAAUGUAAGUCAGAUGUGAAAUUCCGAAGCUUAACUUCGGCGCUGCAUCUGAAACUAUAUUUCUUGAGUGCUGGAGAGGAAAGCGGAAUUCCUAGUGUAGCGGUGAAAUGCGUAGAUAUUAGGAGGAACACCAGUGGCGAAGGCGGCUUUCUGGACAGUAACUGACGCUGAGGCGCGAAAGCGUGGGGAGCAAACAGG
rnacentral:rRNA from 1 species